rnacentral:lncRNA from 1 species
ACCCCUAGAACUCAUAAACGUCGAAAAUGUUGGAUACUUAGAUAUCUCACAGUUACGAAGAAACAGUUUUUUUUGGUGGAUGUUACCAAGAAACUUUUGAUAGUCCAUAAGUUUAGCGCAUUUCUAACUAUUAGAAGCUAAAAUGUUAAUUUGAAUACCUCUAAGUCCAAUCAUGGCUGUUUAUCCUGGAUCUUAAAAGGUGACA